GUUGCUGUCAGUAACCUGUUACCUGGAAGGGAGUGAUAACAGAGCUAUGGAACCAAGAUGAUGAAGGCAUGCUGAAAGGGGGAGAGGGAGAGAAGGUUGUGACAACACAGCCAAUUCCAAAGUAAAGAACAGACUGUGAGUUCAGAGUCCUGAAUGCAGAACCACCCAGGGGUUUGUGGUGAUCUUGUAGGGCCCAUCUCUGAAGCUGGAACAUUCCAGUUCUGAUAUUGUGCUGUAACUAAUGCAUCUGUCCACAGUUUGUGACACCUCUUAUUGCAGGUCCCGGAAAGGAAUAAAAACCAUUGUUACAAAGAUGUCUCCUGCUUCCUUUACACUCUUCCCUCCCCCAAAGGAUUCUUAGAGUAACAUAAGACUAACACAAGAGGUGUUACUCAGAAAGUCCCAGAUGAGUAAACCAUGAUCUUUGUUGUGAAAUUAACUCUUUCAUUCCAUUAAGUACUAUGUUGCCAUUUAAUUAUUUCAGAGUAUUGAAAAUUUAAAAAUUCUAUACAGAUUUAUUAAAAUCCUUACCCUGCCUUGUCGUUGGGAGCACUCCACACAACUGACCUGGAUGUUUCCAUGUUUAGCACCGGGAAUAAUUUGCACACAUUCAAAGUCAUUUGCCAGAAUAACAAUGUCACAACCAGAGCCAUAUGCCUGAAAAAAUUUUUAAAAGAAAAAAAUUGAAAUGUUUAUUUUAAAAACGAACUGAACGCUUCUUACACCGCUGAUGUUUGGGAAGCUGUGACUACCCCAGUUAAACAAGAAGCUACAAAGCAGCGGGUUUGUUCCUCACUAAUUCAAUGAGCAAAAAGCAGAAACACAGUUGUGAAGGAGACCAUAACGCCACUGGGGUUUAAACCACGGCAAACAGAAACAGUACAAAACCCAACCAACCCCCCACACUUAAAUCUAGAACUUGAGCUCUGUAUUUACUUUUUCUUUUGUUUAUUUUAGAUUUUAGUUGGUUUUUUUUUUCUCCCCUCCAAUUCUGGUUGCCUCUUAGAGCAAGGCAGCCAAGCCAGGAGCAUUUAUUAAUGAAUUUCCAUGUACGUUUCUUAAAUAAGUGUGUGUUCUGCCUCCCUGCCUGCCUUUUUUAUUAUUCUUAAUUUUUAAAAAGAUUGUUAAAUUAUUCUCUUCUAUAAGAAUGCAAUUGCUGGGCUUUUCUGAGUUUUAAGAAGUGCACAUUACUGUAAGACCGUAAACGAAAGAUUUCUCUUGGAUAUACUGUUGUGCAAUACACACUAUAUCCUAAAGAAUUUGUUUAUGAAAUAGCUAUAGAACAGUGAUAGCUUGCAGCACUUUUUACUGGCAGGAUAAAUAUACACCUGUCUGCCAACCUUUCACCUGUUCUAAACAGUUUAAUCACUCCAGAUUAUCUGUCCCACUGAGCUCCCACAUUCAGGUGUGGAAAUCUCUCCCUAGGAUCAAUCUACCACUAAGCCUUUUACAGUAACCAGUUAGAGCUGGAAGUCUCUUUCCUUAAAGUAAGUUUUCCUUUGAUUACAAUACAGUAGGCAGAAAUUUUGUAACAGCUGAGUUAAGCAGAGAGUGCAAGUCCUCCACAUGGUACAAAAUUACUUAUCAUUUUAACUUGUCCACUGGAUUUUUCACAAGAAUUUCCAAAAUACUGAGUCAGUCCUUGCUCUCUCCUUUGAGAUCAAUCAGUGUAAAGGCUACUUGUAUUGUAAGCGUAUGAGAGUUAAGAGUAUUUGUAUCGAUUUACAUGACCAGUGCCCCUUGGUGGUCACACUAAGAUAACGGUGCAAGAUCACCACUGGAACUAGAAUGGACAGUUUAGGCCUCAUGACUUUCUAUGUCUACGUCUAAUCCUCCUGGGAAGGAGCAACAAGUGAGAAAGGCUGAAAAAAAAGGGCUUCAUUUAGCGAAAGUACAUCACUGCAUGAAACAGAAAGGAACAGCAAUACGAGCAGCAAAGCAGAAAAUCAGUCCCCAGAAAUUAACACACCAUACAACUGCACACACAGAAAUGAAAACUGCAGAUUAGACAGAUCGUCUGAAAGAUUUCCAAGGUCAUCUCACAAAAAUAGAGUGACACGGUGCUGUCUGAGACAUCAAACCCACACUGCUGUUCAGGGAAGCUCUGAGGAACUGAUACUGGAGUGAUUCACAAUGUAAGCAGGAUUGCUAAAAGGUUGUUGGAGGGAGAUUAUCUGUGUAAUAGAAUAUCCCAGCUCCUUGAUGACUAGGCUGUGUGAUUAUUAGCCCCAGUCUGGAAGGGAGUAAGUUAUUAUUAAAAUUGAAUAGGAUUAUUUCCAGAAUGUAAGAGAAUGAAAGACGAGAUUCUGAAAUAAAUUCUGGCAUUGAACAGAAACUCUUUUUGUUUUGUUAUUUUCCUAUUUUUAUAGUGGGAUUUUUUACUAAACAAACUUCGCCAGUUGUGUUGAAUGCUGGACAAAACAGUAAAGGCUCCCAAGUAGGAAGGAAGAAGACUGAGACCAGGAUGUGAAUGCCCAGAAAUAGACAGGAAAACAAAAGCACACCCUCUUGUUCCAAUAAUUUAUUCAGAAUCCCAAUAUUCACAAGAAAUUGAUUCUCCUACUUGAACUUCAAAGGGUGAGCAAUUAAAACAGAAAAGAACUGACUCAUCUUCUUUUCAAAAGUCUUCCUCAUAACUACUAAUACAAACCUACUAAAAGACGUGACUUAAAUUAUCUAAGUAAAAAGAGGUGCUGCGUUACAGUGGGACCCUGACAGUGCUGAUCCACUUAAAACGAGGACUUAAACCUUUCAAAUCCCCUAUUCACUGUCAGUAUUGAUAACCUGAGUUGCAAAUUUCAGACUACGUUAUACACUAGUUGCAAUUUUAUUGGCAAGAGACAUGUACGUGUGUCUCAGAAAUUAAAAAAGAAAAGACUUCUCAGCUUCAGUUUCCUUGUGCUUACUGUUCUUAAACAUGCCCAUUUGUAUGUGUGUGUACAGCUCACAAUGCAUGAAACAGGAAAUAUUUUAUACUUGGCUAUGUCUGUUUAUUCUGUGAAGCAAAAGAAUUUAGUGUCUUUCUCUUUAAACAUUGUAGUUUUUCAUCUCUCCUGUCCCCUACCUGCACUGUCCAGCAACAAAGCAUUAAAUUUCCAGGCAAUUAUACUAUUUAGCAUAUUUUUACAAAGUUAAGUUAAAAAGUGGUUCUGAAUUAGAAGUGUGGUUUACAGUCAAACUCUUUUUCCUGAAAGAAUCAUCAAGAUACAGAGAUCUCUUUCCUUUGUGAAAUGUUAUUACUGUCACUUGUACCCAUCCUACUCUUUGCCUGUGUUUACUGCUGCACCAACAAGUGACUCAGCAGACCUGAGUGUCCUGUGCCAACAGAGGGGAUCCCUCGCUGAGGGGCUCAGGCAGAACCCAUUCCCAGCAGCAGGAUACCAGCCCUCAGCUCGAGGUUCUUAGAGCAAGUGCUGCUAUCUCUUGGUUCUGGGGUCAUUUUCUGAGCGUAGACAUUUAUUCUGAGAAUGUGCCUUACUUCUUGAAAGUAUAUUAAAGUAUAUUUACCUUAGAUCUUAAAAUUAUUUUAUGAAGUCAAUUCAUUAGAACGCACCUUUGAAAAAGGUCCAUAUACUUUUAUGUACUGAAAGAUAGUUUCAUAUUUCACAUUAUAUGCCUAAAUACAAGUUUUUAAUUUGAUUACUUUCAUGCAGCUUUUCUGAUGGCUUCAUUAUAUUAACAUGUUUAUACUUGAAGAGAACACUUUUCUGUUAAAUCCUCUUUUCUUCUGUCCUGUCAGUCCUUAAGCUGGUAAAGCAGCAGAAACACCCCACACUGACAAAGAACAGGGAAGUGUCAUAAUGUUUAACAUCAGUAGUUCCUUCUUAAGGAUUCAGCUGACAUCUGCAUGAGGUCAUUCAUGCCACCACAGGUCUCUCCUGCCAGAGAAACAGUGGCCACAACAUUGGUGGCAGCAGGCUGACAAUCUGCAUGGCCUGAUAAAAGGAAUGGAAAGUUGGUAAGCCAUACAGACAGGAAAGAUGGAAAAUAAGGCACUGAGGUACUGUAAUGGAUGAGAGCAGCAUAGAGCUCUUAAA